rnacentral:sRNA from 12 species
ACUGUGGAGUAUACAAGAACUUGUGAGUAGUUUAUUUAACUGUGUUAAAUUACAAAAACAUAUAUGAUGAAGCAGUAA